rnacentral:tRNA from 1 species
GCGAGGGUAGCCAAGCCAGGCCAACGGCGACAGACUCAAGAUCUGUUCCAGCAGUGGUUCGUCGGUUCGAAUCCGGCCCCUCGCA